AAUAUUGGACAAUGGGCGAAAGCCUGAUCCAGCCAUGCCGCGUGUGUGAAGAAGGUCUUCGGAUUGUAAUGAACUUUAAUUUGGGAGGAAGGGCAGUUAACGAAUACUUAACUGUUUUGACGUUACCAACAGAAUAAGCGACGGAUAACUUCGUUCCAUCAGCGGCGGUAAUACGAAGGGUGCAAGCGUUAAGCGGAAUUACUGGGCGUAAAGCGCGCGUAGGUGGCUCGUUAAGUUGGAAGUGAAAGCCCCGGGCUCAACCUGGGAAUUGCUUUCAAGACUGGCGAGCUAGAGUACGGUAGAGGGUGGUGGAAUUUCCUGUGUAGCGGUGAAAUGCGUAGAUAUAGGAAGGAACAUCAGUGGCGAAGGCGACCACCUGGACUGAUACUGACACUGAGGUGCGAAAGCGUGGGGAGCAAACAGG
rnacentral:rRNA from 1 species